rnacentral:rRNA from 1 species
GACGAACGCUGGCGGCGUGCUUAACACAUGCAAGUCGAGCGGUAAGGCCCUUUCGGGGGUACACGAGCGGCGAACGGGUGAGUAACACGUGGGUGACCUGCCCUCAGCUCUGGGAUAAGCCUGGGAAACUGGGUCUAAUACUGGAUAUGACUCCACGGUGCAUGUCGUGGGGUGGAAAGCCUUGUGCGGCUGAGGAUGGGCCCGCGGCCUAUCAGCUUGUUGGUGGGGUGANGGCUUACCAAGGCUACGAUCCGUAACCGGCCUGAGAGGGCGGUCGGUCACACUGACACUGACAUACGGGUCAGACUCCUACGGGAGGCAGCAGUCGGGAAUUUUGGGCAAUGGGCGAAAGCCUGACCCAGCAACGCCGCGUGAAGGAUGAAAUCCCUCGGGAUGUAAACUUCGCAAGAACGGGAAGAAUAAGCGAGAGUUAAUAUCUUUCGUGAUG